rnacentral:lncRNA from 1 species
CCCGGGUGGAGGCGCCCGGACUGGGGCGGCCGCGGGACGGCCGCGCUCGGGCGUCUGAGCCGGAGGGACCCGGGCGGGACGCACGUGCGCGCCGAGCUCCGCUCGCGGGUUGCGGCGGGGGAGAAGCCGCUGUCCAGCCCGGAGGUUGACGGUGCCGUGCAUCCCCGCGGACGCCUGGGUGCGCGCCGGGCGCUGCGGUGUGAGCGUAGGCUGGCGGGAACGGAUCCGGAGAUCCUUGGGGUCUCCACAGACUUUGGAGGGUAGAAAAUUAUGGUCUGAGGAGGAGCACAGAACCGGGAAGGCUGUCAUCAAAAGUUGUAGCACUUUCUCCACCAGAAGCUGCACCCCAAGUCAGGCGGGCGCCAUCAUGCCUCAGCAGCUCCUGAUCACCGUGUCCCCUGAGGUGAAGUUGAAGCAACCCAGGAAGACCAAGAAGGGGGCAUCCCUGUGGGACAAUGUGACGAAAACGUUUGAAGGAGGAGCUGUGCUAUCCUGUGAUGCUGACGGGACCCAACCAGAAAGUUUAACUGAUGGAAUGGCCCCCGGCGCCUUUGCAGCAGAAUCCCAGGUGUGUUGGAGUCUCCUCCUAUUUUCCUGACAUUCCUUCUUUGUUUUUUCGUUAGUUCGUUUGUU